ACAAACAACAUUGUAACCAGCAUUUAACAUUUCCAAAACAGUGUGGGAACCAAUGUAACCAGCACCACCCGUUACUAAUACCGUUGGGGGAGCCAUCUCGUUUAAAAAAGUGUUCUAGAUAUAUUAUGAAUAACAAAAGAUAAUACACUUAUAUUAUUGCUCUCGUUUAGUUGGAAAAAGUAAAAGUUUCAUUUUAUAAGAAUUUUUAUUAUUGACGUCAGCAAUACAAUUAUUUAUUACACUUUAAAGAAUUAUGCGCAAAGAUGUUCGUUAGUAUUGCUAAUGUUCACAACUAAAUACUUGGUACAACACCAAUAUACAUAUUUAUGAACCUGUAUGUAUGUCCGUCGGUCAGUCAGUCAGGCUAUCUGGAAAACUGUUUUAAAUAAAAAUGAGCACUUUAUUGGUAUAAUAAUGAUGUUAUUGAAGAUGAUACUCAACAACAAUCACUAAACUGGCAGACACCACUGGUCAAACAACUAAAUAUUUAGAAGAGAGCAAAUUUAGAAGCAACAGCAGCUGGUUGUCAGUCAAAAACCUGAACGUACGGAAAUAAUCAUAAUUAUGAAUAAAAAAAAUAUAUACUAUAGUAUACUCGGUGCUAAAGAUGCUGACCUCUGUUAAUAUUUCUUGUAUUUAAAUUAAAUAUUUUUCAAAUA